CAUUAUUUUUGAAAUGGAGAAACUACUAGUUUUUAUACACUAUUUAGUGUGAUGUAUUAAAAAUUAUAUUCAAUGAAUUAUUUAUAUAAAAUAAUAUUUAUUUGUGAGUAUCGUCCCUUAACUUUGAAUAUAUUCUCUUUUCAACAAAAUUCUUUUGUCUUUAAAACCCCACUGACUCAUUUUCCCCUCAAAAUAAGAUUAAAUAGUUGAUAGUAUUGCACCCUACAUUUGCUAUCAAAUUUUCUCGGAAGAUCAGACCAUGAGUUCCAAUCAAGGGCGGAGCUAUUCUUUGUUUUGAUGAUCGACAAUCUGACAACGUGAUAUGAAACAUGUCAGUCAACCUGGUUCACAGACACACUGUCUCAUGUAGCUGAAAUUUGUAGCAAAAUCAUCGACGAUUAAAGACAAGGGUGGAAGAAAUCAAGAACCAGAUGAGUGGUUAAUUCUGAUAAACUCAAGGAAAUAAAUAUGUACAAAUUUGAAGGAGUUGAAUUUGAUUCAAACACUUAAUGAUAAGGGAAAGCAAGUUGAGUUGAAAAAGGAGUCGUAUGGAAAGGAGUUUCACUUCUGAGCAUAUCCUGAAGAGUCCUAUGUGUAGAAGAAGAAAGAUUCUGCAGAUUGAAGACAUCUACCCAAGAUAAGAAAUAUAUAAAUUGAAGGAUUCUUUGUUAGAUCAAUGAAGUUUUUGAUGACUAACACAUGAAUGGACUAUGUUACUUGACCUGGUCCAAGCAUAGGAAGACAUGUUUCAAGUUUUACUGAUAGGUGCAGACAAAGAUUGCUGAAAGUCAGGAACAAAUGAGCAAGCCUAAUUCUGAUAUACUCAAGCUACUGGUCACGUGAAAAAUUGAAGAAGUUGUGGUUGAGUAAAAUACUUGAAGAUAAGUUGAUUUAAAGAGUUGGAGUUUGACUACAACACUAAGGAGAUAAGAGUUGAAAUUGAAGAAGGAGUCUCACUUGAAGUAGAACAGUAUGUAAUGAAAGUUCUGAUUAAAAGAGGAGUUUGAAAUAAAAAAUAACUCUUUGCAGAGUUGUGUUUAAAUAAAAGAUGCAUCAUUCAAAGUAACUUACGCACUUACAAAGCAAAAAGCACAAUCGACAGAUUGACUUCAUGAAGUGCUACUCAAUUACUGAAAAAACACAUUGAAGAACCUACUCCUAAGUAUAGAAUCUAGCUAAGAGUUUUAGCGUUAAUUUUUAGAGUUGUUCAUUGUGUUUGAACUAUUGAUGUAAUAUUAGUUUUAGUGUGUUAUAAACUGAAUUAGGAUCUAGUCUUCGAGUUGGAAAAAACUCAGAGACCUUGGGAACGCAUACCUUGGGCCGUGUGUGUGUAGUUAGAAAUUAGAGUUUAUAAUUCCUAGUCGUUGAGUCAAAGGAAUUAGAGUUUACAAUUCCUAGUUGUUAAGUUAUAUGGAUUAGAGUUUAUAAUUCCUAUUUGUUUGUUACAAGAGUUUUGUAAUCAGUCGUUGUUGAGGCUCCAAGUUAUUUAGUGAAGUUGGGAUUAUAUCCUAUAGAGGUACAGAUCGUAGUUUUUUACACCUUUUUUAGUUGGGUAUUUUUCACGUAAAAA